AGUGAACGCUGGCGGUAGGCCUAACACAUGCAAGUCGAGCGGCAGCACAGUAAGAGCUUGCUCUUACGGGUGGCGAGUGGCGGACGGGUGAGGAAUACAUCGGAAUCUACUUUUUCGUGGGGGAUAACGUAGGGAAACUUACGCUAAUACCGCAUACGACCUACGGGUGAAAGCAGGGGAUCUUCGGACCUUGCGCGAUUGAAUGAGCCGAUGUCGGAUUAGCUAGUUGGCGGGGUAAAGGCCCACCAAGGCGACGAUCCGUAGCUGGUCUGAGAGGAUGAUCAGCCACACUGGAACUGAGACACGGUCCAGACUCCUACGGGAGGCAGCAGUGGGGAAUAUUGGACAAGGGGCGCAAGCCUGAUCCAGCCAUACCGCGUGGGUGAAGAAGGCCUUCGGGUUGUAAAGCCCUUUUGUUGGGAAAGAAAAGCAGCAGGUUAAUACCCCGCUGUUCUGACGGGACCCAAAGAAUAAGCACCGGCUAACUUCGU
rnacentral:rRNA from 1 species